GCAGUAGCCGCGGUAAUACGGAGGAUCCGAGCGUUAUCCGGAAUUAUUGGGUUUAAAGGGUGCGUAGGCGGAUAGAUAAGUCAGUGGUGAAAGACGGUGGCUCAACCAUCGCAGUGCCGUUGAUACUGUUUAUCUUGAAUAUGGAUGAGGUAGGCGGAAUGUGGCAAGUAGCGGUGAAAUGCAUAGAUAUGCCACAGAACACCGAUUGCGAAGGCAGCUUACCAAGGCAAAAUUGACGCUGAGGCACGAAAGCGUGGGGAUCGAACAGGAUUAGAUACCCGAGUAGUCCCUGUCUCUUAUAC
rnacentral:rRNA from 1 species